GUGAGGAAUAUUGGUCAAUGGGCGCAAGCCUGAACCAGCCAUCCCGCGUGCAGGAAGACGGCGCUAUGCGUUGUAAACUGCUUUUCCAGGGAGAGAAACUUGCGCACGUGUUGCGCAAUUGACGGUACCCUGGGAAUAAGCAUCGGCUAACUCCGUGCCAGCAGCCGCGGUAAUACGGAGGAUGCGAGCGUUAUCCGGAUUCAUUGGGUUUAAAGGGUGCGUAGGCGGACUAUUAAGUCAGUGGUGAAAUCCCGCAGCUUAACUGCAGAACUGCCAUUGAUACUGAUAGCCUUGAGUUUGGUUAAGGUAGGCGGAAUGUGUAAUGUAGCGGUGAAAUGCUUAGAUAUUACACAGAACACCAAUUGCGUAGGCAGCUUACUGAGCCGACACUGACGCUGAGGCACGAAAGCGUGGGGAUCGAACAGGAUUAGAUACCCGGGUAGUCC
rnacentral:rRNA from 1 species